rnacentral:rRNA from 1 species
ACUUGUACCGACUGGAUGAGCAGCGAACGGGUGAGUAACGCGUGGGGAAUCUGCCUUUGAGCGGGGGACAACAUUUGGAAACGAAUGCUAAUACCGCAUAAAAACUUUAAACACAAGUUUUAAGUUUGAAAGAUGCAAUUGCAUCACUCAAAGAUGAUCCCGCGUUGUAUUAGCUAGUUGGUGAGGUAAAGGCUCACCAAGGCGAUGAUACAUAGCCGACCUGAGAGGGUGAUCGGCCACAUUGGGACUGAGACACGGCCCAAACUCCUACGGGAGGCAGCAGUAGGGAAUCUUCGGCAAUGGACGAAAGUCUGACCGAGCAACGCCGCGUGAGUGAAGAAGGUUUUCGGAUCGUAAAACUCUGUUGGUAGAGAAGAACGUUGGUGAGAGUGGAAAGCUCAUCAAGUGACGGUAACUACCCAGAAAGGGACGGCUAACUACGUGCCAGCAGCCGCGGUAAUACGUAGGUCCCGAGCGUUGUCCGGAUUUAUUGGGCGUAAAGCGAGCGCAGGUGGUUUAUUAAGUCUGGUGUAAAAGGCAGUGGCUCAACCAUUGUAUGCAUUGGAAACUGGUAGACUUGAGUGCAGGAGAGGAGAGUGGAAGUCCAUGG